GGAGAUGAAGUUCAGUUAUAGAGCACUUGCCUAACAUGCUUAAGGCCCUGGGUUCAAUUCCCAGUACUGCCA
rnacentral:tRNA from 1 species